CAGCCGCCGCGGGAAUACGUAGGGUGCGAGCGUUAAUCGGAAUUACUUGGCGUAAAGCGUGCGCAGGCGGUUGUGUAAGACAGGUGUGAAAUCCCCGGGCUUAACCUGGGAACUGCGCUUGUGACUGCACAGCUAGAGUAUGGCAGAGGGGGGUGGAAUUCCACGUGUAGCAGUGAAAUGCGUAGAGAUCUGGAGGAAUACCGGUGGCGAAGGCGGCCCCCUGGACAAAGACUGACGCUCAGGUGCGAAGGCGUGGGGAGCAAACAGGAUUAGAUACCCCGGUAGUCCCUGUCUCUUAUAC
rnacentral:rRNA from 1 species